rnacentral:tRNA from 1 species
GAGGGUACAGCUCAGUGGUAGAGCACAUGCUUAGCAUAAGUGAAGUCCUGGGUUCAAGCCCCAGUAUCUCCA